AUGGCGAAAUUCUGGUGGAGUGGUUCCCUUGAUAGACGAUCCUUGCACUGGAUAUCAUGGGACAGUCUCGCAUCUCCAAAAGUUAAUGGUGGCAUGGGCUUUCGAGAUUUGCAACUGUUUAACUUGGCUCUACUUGGAAAACAUGGAUGGUGUUUCAUCUCCAAUCCAGAUUCCCUAUGUGGUCGUGUUAUGAAGGGACGUUAUUUCCCUGAUGGAGAGUUCAUGGAUGCCGCUGUUCCGCGCUCAUCUUCAGCUGUGUGGAGAGCCAUUGUGGCAGGCCGUGAAGCUCUUGAGGAAGGCUUAGUGAAACGUGUGGGGACUGGUACUACCAUCUCCAUAUGGGAAGACCGAUGGGUCCCG
rnacentral:rRNA from 1 species